UACGUAGGGCGCAAGCGUUGUCCGGAAUUAUUGGGCGUAAAGAGCCCGUAGGCGGCUUGUCACGUCGGAUGUGAAAGCCCGGGGCUUAACUCCGGGUCUGCAUUCGAUACGGGCUGGCUAGAGUGUGGUAGGGGAGAUCGGAAUUCCUGGUGUAGCGGUGAAAUGCGCAGAUAUCAGGAGGAACACCGGUGGCGAAGGCGGAUCUCUGGGCCAUUACUGACGCUGAGGAGCGAAAGCGUGGGGAGCGAACAGG
rnacentral:rRNA from 1 species